UGUUUUACUUCCAACAAAAUAUAGUUAAUAUUUGAGAGAAAGAUCCGCUCACUACAAUUAAACCAGAGCAACAAAACAAAAAUCUAUUUGUGUGUCGACAAUGGGCAUUAGGGAGGAUUGAUGACGGACAAGCCAGUGUAGCGAUGGAAAAAAAAGAUGCGCAAUCAAAAUUGGGAUCGCAUCCGGACCUCUGGGGGAACCCUAAUCUCUGGUUGCGGUUACACCUUUAUACUGCAAUCGCUCAGAUAAACUAUGAGGAAAUGGCAGAUGAUGGAUCGAAAUUUAAAGCACGAGCUCCACCCCGGCCGCAGUCUAAUUUCUAGCGGAAGAUUUAGAGGGGAACGAUUUUAAGAUCCAUUUCUUACUGAGCUACCUGAGUGCAAGGUGAUCAGUUGCUGCUUCCUGUGUAAAGACGUGUAUAUUUCCUUUCAACAGCAUCUUCAAAAAACGAGAAGGCUGUGCCCAAAGCUCAGGUGCUACCUUCCAAGUAGAUAUAAGUGAAGAUAUGAAGACAAGAAGGAAAUUUUACAAGCAACACCAAUAGAAAUUAAGCAGCAAAGAAAUGAAGGAAGAAUGUCUGAAGUGACAAAUAUGCACUGUAUAUUCAAGCAACAAAAGCAACUUUGUGAAUGAAGAUCUACUGCAGAGACUUAAGCACAAGAGCUUAGCCAGUUCACUACCGAGAGGAUGCUGCAUUGUGAAGGUGCUGUGUUUCAGAUGAGUCAUUAAAAUGAAAGUCAUUUAGGUAGAUGAAAUUCAUCAUAUGGCUUUAGUUCAAAGAAACGUAGAGGAUUAUUCUUGUGCUCAAAGCAAAAUUUAUUCUUCAAUCAAUGGGAGAUUGCAGGAGUUUGCUGAGCAAAAAUCAUCUACUCCAUUUCUUAUAUCAUUUCUACACUUAGCAACAAUUUAUUGAUCUGGAUACUUUGAGAUAUGCAGAAAUUAUGAAAGGUAAAUGAACACAAAAUUUAUUUGAGUGUAUCAUGUCUUAUGAUUGAGAAUAAUUACAGUGAAUUUUACCUUAUCAGUGACAGCUGCAUCUAACAAGCUGUAAUUUUACAGGUUGAUCUGGGAUUUUACUUUUCAUACCCUGAAAGGGGAGCAAAAUCGGCGACUAAAACACUGGAGGGAUACGGGAAGAAAACUAAACUAAUGCUUAAGUCAAAGGAUUGUGGUUUGAAAACAUUUUUUGUGUGGAUUUGUGGGCUUGGUGUGUAUGUAUAGUGUGGGUAAAUGGUGGUUGAGGGAGGGUUUGACUCCACCACAGAAAAUGUUACCUUGCCCAUUAGUGAUCUGGCACCUACGAUAUCCUCACCUUUAGAGAGCUUGAGUUGGCUUAGAAUCAAGCUAGAACAAAAAUGCUCUCAUGCAUUUAAUUUAUGAUAAUAAAAUAUCUUUUAUUGAUUCUGGCAGAACACAAUGGUGUGAUCAAGCAUGAAAAAGGACAUUACUCUUAGUUUUGGUGCAUUAUUUGUCACAGUGAUAUCACUGCUGCUUAAGAACUCAGAACCUAUUGGAACUUUUCACUAAUACCAAACUGUUUUGGAAGCAACUGAGAAGCUUUUAAAAAGUUAUGGUAUUCCACUUUGUACUCUGCAUGCUGUACAUUCCAGAUUUUCUUUUCAUAUAUCCCUGGGGGAAAAUUAAAGCACUGCUGUAAUAAAUCAGGGGAGGACCACCAUUAGGGCACCAUCCACCUUGUCUUCCCACCCGCUUUAACUGUUAAAUAAAUCAUAACAUCCUGUUAAUAGUAAUGAUGUUAAGGAUGAAUAAGUAAUUCCAAAUGCUCGCCAAAUUGCAAGUGUGUCUUGCUUCCAAGUUUUUGUUUAUAACAAGUAACAACUCUAGACUUUUGAUAAAUGAGGUCUUUAAGGAUAAUGUUUUCCAUUUUGACUACUCCCUGCUAAUGUGGAAAGGGCAGAGGAAUAGGAAAUUAACAAAUGAAUGGGUUGUAUAUGCCAUUCAACUCUUUGAACCAUUCAACCUCUUUCAUGUUUCAUUAAGCCAAGUAGAUGCUCAUAAUUAUAUUUUGAAUAUCUUUGACAGCUAUUCUGUACAGAAUCAUUCCUUAUCGGGUGAAAUUAUCUUAGGCAAAAUAAAUUUUAUUAAGGAAAUGCAUAAAAACAUUGUUUUCAUUUCUAACUUCCUUUCUUCAUUUAAGUGAAAGCAGUCUAAUUUUACACUUUAUUAUGAUCAUGUUAACUCUAGCAAAGAUAACAAUAUACACAUUAAUGUUAAUCAAUGUGCUAUGUACAACAUGCAAAACCCUUUUAGUGAAUAUGUUUCCCAGGAGCAUUAUCUAUAAAACCCAUGAUACUUAAGAAAGUGAACACAAAGUUGGUUGAAGAAGGAGGAUUUAAUAUAUGUGUAGCGAUAGGGAGGCAGUGAAGUUUGGAAAGAUAUUUCCGGGUCUGGGGCCUAAAUGCAUGAAGGCAGAGCUACCACUUUUGUUGAAGGACGUGAAAGAUCCAAAAAAGAUGAAUGUCAGAGAAACAGAGGCUCUCAGUGAGUUAAGGGGUUAGAGUGUAUCACAUGGGUAGGCAUGGAUGAAUUUUUAAAGAGAUUUGAGUAGAAGACUGAACAAAGUUAAGGUGUCAGUGAGAAAAAGGAACAUGUGAUAAUAAAGGCUCCUAACUUUGAGUUGGAGCGGAAGGAAUUAGGUAAGCUGAAAAUCAGAAUUGACAGAUCAGGAGCAACUAUCUCAUGGAUGGAUGUUUCAGCUAUAUGGCGCAAGUGGAGAUCAGACACAUUAGGGAGAUAGGGAGGUAGAAAUAGGAGAGAAGAAGCAAUGCUUGUUGAGUUGGAACCAUAACUAAAGGUCAAGUGGAAUGCCAAAGUUGCAGACCCUGCAUGAAUUUGAAAACAGUGAACAGCAAACAAAGGGCUGAUGGGCUAAGAAACUAUGUUUACCAAAGUACAUUUCAGUCUUCUGAGGCAUUAGCUUUCUGAUAACAUUUGCAAAGGUUGAGAUAAUCUGUUUCAGCAACUGACCUCAAUCCCGCAUUUGUGUCUGUGCUGAUGUGGUAAUCGCUGAGCACACACAGAAUGUCUUGUCCCAUAAUGGAGGAUCUGAGGACAAUUCUGACCUGAGAAACAAUCACUGGACAAUGCUAGCUCAAGAAUUAAACCGUAUAGUCUGGGUAUAUCCAGCAUGAAUUCCACAACGAUAUGCCACUCAUCUGAUUCUCUUGUUCAUCAUCUGUACCCUUUUAACCUUUUAAUAUACGUUUGAAACAAAUACCUCAUCCACUUUUAAAGUAGAGAAGCUAUCCAGCUGAAGAUAAUAUACUAAUAGGGCAUUUGUGCAAAGUCCCUCCUUCCGUGUUAAAUUAGCUCUUAAAUCCGAUCAUGAGUGCAUUAUUGGAACCAUUCUUCUUUUACACAUUUUUGAGAUUUCUCUGAGGAUAAAGCCACAUUCCAGUUUAUCUGGACAUACUAGCAUCACUCUCUUUUUGAAGAGUCCAUGUAUCAUUGUGCUAAACCCACAGAGAGCCAGUUUGAGUUCUGUUGCAAAUCUGAAGACCAACAUUGGGCAGGUAAGACCUGCAGUAUUAUCUACAGCAUGUCAGAGAUACUAAAGGAACAUAAGCAUCCUUCGACGGAACCAGAUCAAUAUCAUGUAGAGAAGUUGAACAAUCUUGAUCAAGGUGAUUCAUUGAGCAAAACUGAAUAGAAUCAUUGUUGUGGUGUCCAAGCAGACUAAACCAUUAGGCUUUGAAUGUGUUUUACAAGGUAACCCCUCAUGUGAAUUGUUGAUAAUAAACAAAGUUAUUGCCAAUGUUGCAAACAUAUCUGCUGACUUACAAAACCCAAGAUUUAUUGUAAGUUGAAACUAUCUCUACGCAUAUGCACAAUUAAACCAGGAUAAAGAAAAUCAAAGCUAACAGUUAUUGGAAAUUUUGUUCACAAGUUUGGUGGGCAGCACAACAAUCACUCUAUUCAGCUUUGAUCAAAAUAUUAUGUUGCUCAAACUUGUUUAGCUGCUCCUGCUCUUGGUAUUGAUUUGAUAUUGAAUAGAAGAAUGCCUAUAUUCCUUCAGAAUCUCUAAAAUGGGGGUCAAUGCUGUAGAUCAGCCUCUCUCAACCUUUUUGCCCUGGAGGAACCCUUGAAAGAAUUUUCAGGUGUUGGGGAAUCCCUACGUAAAAAUUAUUAAAUCUACAGAUCAUGGUAUGUUAGCGUGAUCGGUAAGUUGUAGAUAUAAUAAUCCAAAAAUAAUUGUCAAUGUUCUUUUGAGUAGAGAAUCAAUUUUUAGCCAAUCUUUCUUGAAAAAAAAGAUAGUUAAGCUUAGCUUACCUUUCUUCAAAUUAAUCUCUUUCUUUCCCAUUCAUAAAUAUUAAAAAC